UACGUAGGGUGCAAGCGUUAAUCGGAAUUACUGGGCGUAAAGCGUGCGCAGGCGGUUUUGUAAGUCUGUCGUGAAAUCCCCGGGCUCAACCUGGGAAUGGCGAUGGAGACUGCAAGGCUAGAAUCUGGCAGAGGGGGGUAGAAUUCCACGUGUAGCAGUGAAAUGCGUAGAUAUGUGGAGGAACACCGAUGGCGAAGGCAGCCCCCUGGGCCUGCACUGACGCUCAUGCACGAAAGCGUGGGGAGCAAACAGG
rnacentral:rRNA from 1 species